GACGAACGCUGGCGGCGUGCCUAAUACAUGCAAGUAGAACGCAGUUGCGAACGGGUGAGUAACGCGUAGGUAACUGCCUCAUAGCGGGGGAGAACUAUUGGAAACGAUAGCUAAUACCGCAUACUGUGAGAUGGACCUGCGUUGUAUUAGCUAGUUGGUGAGGUAAAGGCUCACCAAGGCGACGAUACAUAGCCGACCUGAGAGGGUGAUCGUCCACCCUGGGACUGGGACCCGCCCAAGACUCCUACGGGAAGCAGCAGUAAGGAUGGCUCGGAAAUAGACGGAAGCCUAACCGAGCAACUCAGCGUCAUUGCCGCAGGUUCUCGGAUCGUAAAGCGCCUUUGUGAGAGAAGCGCUAACUAACCAGACAGGGAAUGCUAACUACGUGCCAGCAGCCGCGGUAAUUC
rnacentral:rRNA from 1 species